rnacentral:misc_RNA from 1 species
AAGUCGUAACAAGGUUUCCGUAGGUGAACCUGCGGAAGGAUCAUUCUUGUAUUAUUGCUUUAAGCAAUCAAUUACCACAUUGUGAACCGUUUCGCGUGCAAAGCGGCCGAUUGAGUUGGCACUUUUAUGGUGUCAACUCGAGGUUGCUAGCCGGAAUUUUACAACUAACUCUACUAACUUUUAAUUGUCUUGAAAACAAAUAAAAAAUAUAUAUACAACUUUUAGCAACGGAUCUCUAGGCUCUC